CACUGCUCAAAAAAUUAAAGGGAACACUUAACACAAUGUAACUCCAAGUCAAUCACACUUCUGUGAAAUCAAACUGUCCACUUAGGAAGCAACACUGAGUGACAAUCAAUUUCACAUGCUGUUGUGCAAAUGGGAGCGACAACAGGUGGAAAUUAUAGGCAAUUAGCAAGACAACCCCAAUAAAGGAGUGGUUCUGCAGGUAAUCACCACAGACUACUUCUCAGUCCCUAUGCUUCCUGGCUGAUGUUUUGGUCACUUUUGAAUGCUGGCGGUGCUUCCACUCUAGUGGUAGCAUAAGACGGAGUCUACAACCCACACAAGUGGCUCAGGUAGUGCAGCUCAUCCAGGAUGGCACAUCAAUGCGAG